GAUUUCAACUGAAAAAGUCAUCAAUAACAAAGUUCUAUAACUCAUCAAUAUAUAUAACUUCUAUUUUGGUCAUUUCUUCAUCCCACAAAGUGAUUUGUAAAAUUGUUCACAAAAUGUACAUAUCUCUAAUAUAGUUUUAUAAACUGUAAAUUUUGUGAAAAUGUUACUAUCACUUUGUUGGAUGAAGAAAUGACCAAAAUAGAAGUUAUAAAUCUUGAUGAGUUAUACAACUUUGUUGUUGAUGACUUUUUCAGCUGAAAUC
rnacentral:pre_miRNA from 1 species